UACGUAGGGGGCUAGCGUUGUCCGGAAUCAUUGGGCGUAAAGCGCGUGUAGGCGGUCCGGUAAGUCCGCUGUGAAAGUCGGGGGCUCAACCCUCGGAUGCCGGUGGAUACUGUCGGGCUUGAGUACGGAAGAGGCGAGUGGAAUUCCUGGUGUAGCGGUGAAAUGCGCAGAUAUCAGGAGGAACACCAAUUGCGAAGGCAGCUCGCUGGGACGUUACUGACGCUGAGACGCGAAAGCGUGGGGAGCAAACGGG
rnacentral:rRNA from 1 species